rnacentral:lncRNA from 1 species
UUCGGAACCCAAACAUUCCUUGGCCACAUCGCCGUCUCGUCUAGUCUCCACGGCGACGGCGCCGCCGCUUCUCGGUCGCCGGCGCACCCGCCGCCUCUUUUCGGCUCGCCGGCGGCGCGUAGGGACUCGAGGAAAUGCUUCUGCGUCGCCAUCACUACCCGAAUCAAGUACGCAAAGUGCGGCCAUCAUUUCUCUCUUAUUUACUACUCUCUUUUUCUGUCGUGAAUCUGAACGUUAAGAGAGAUUUUUUUUCUUCUUCUUUUACUGUACCUGAAUAUUUGUGAAUGCUGAUGAUUGAUACUACUUGCGCACGAUUCUCAAAGUGUACAUACUAGUUCUAGCAGUGGCAAAUUUACACGGAAUUUUGAUGGAUUUGAGUAGUGACCAUCAUCCGGAAUGUUCAUUCUGCUGAACACCUGCAAAGAGUUGUCACAACUGGAUGCUGUUCUUGAACUCUGUAGUCUGUUCAUGUAGUUUGGAAGAUGUGGUUUUUCAUGGACGGUUGACCAAAAUUAGCUCAUGCUCAUCUCAGAAUUGAAGAAAUCUUAGCUUGGAAAGUACCAUCUGAUCUAACAGCACACCAAGUGCAAAGAACAGGCCUACUGUGAUACCAAAGAUAACCUUGUCACUGAAUUCACCUGUGGAUAGAGUAGAGGCAGGCGCAGGAACUGCUUUUGCUGAACUACAACGGUGACUGAGCAUAGGACCACAUAGCUUUGGAUUACCAAUGAAGCAAUCUGUGAAUGUGCUAAGCUGGCCUUCAGUUGGGAUAGGCCCUUCUAGGUCAUUGUAAGAAAUGUUGAAUCUGGUUAGGAAGUUUAGAUUUUUCAGUGCUGCUGGGAUUGUACCAGAUAGUUUGUUGCUUGAUAAAUCCAGUGUUAGCAGAUUUGUGAGGUUGCAGAUCGACUGGGGGAUAUCUCCAUAUAAUUUGUUAGCGCUCAAAUUGAGUUCAAGGAGCCCUUUCAACUGACCAAUCUCUGGAGGGAUCAAACCAGUGAAUUUAUUGCUGCCUAGAUCCAGCAUUAUGGGGAAAGCAUUGGCCUUGCGGUAUUGAAGUAGUGAUGUAAGACUAUAUAUGGGUAGUUGAAAUGCUCUAGGGUGCAAUUGGACUUGGACUGCAGACUUCUCUGACCUAAGCAUUGGCAUCUGUACUAAGGCUGUUGGAAUUUCUCCCGUCAGAUUGUUGUUUGAUAUGUCUAGAUAGAAGAGGAAGUUUAGGCUGCUGAUCCAGUCAGGUAUUGGUCCAGUUAAUUGAUUUCUAUUUAAUAUUAGCAUCUCCAGACUCGAGAGUUUUGAUAACCAUCGAGGUAUUUUUCCAUAUAUAAGGAGCAAGCAAUUUGGGAAAGAACCUGAAGAUUGUCAAAUCCAUCAAUGUUAUCAUCGUCCAGUAUUCUCUCAUUCAUGAAGUUUCGGCCAAUAAGAAGGGUGGUGAGGCUGCUGGAGCUCCUUAAUAUCUGUAGUGCAUUUGUUAUGUUUGUAAGAUUGUUGUAACUGAGUGACAGGAAGGAAAGGGAUUUCAGAUUACCUAGUCCCUUUGAUAACUGGCCUUGAAACUUAUUGGAAGAUAGCCGCAGGGCAGUUAGGUUACUACAUGAGUAUAUUGUUUCUGGAAUCUUACCACUGAAGUUGUUCCACAAAAGAUCUAAAGCUUUUAGAUUGGGUAGGUUGGAGAAAUUGACAUUGACGAGCUCCCCACUGAAAUUGUUGCUCCUGAGGUUGAUGGUUAUCAGACUUGUGCAGUUGCUUAAGGUUGAUGGUAUGCCCCCAUACAUUUUGUUGUUGUUCAAAAGGAGUUCUUCCAAUCUGUUGAGCUGGCCUAUAGACUCUGGAAUGUUACCACUGAAGUUGUUCUCUCCGAGGUCAAGAGUAGCCAGCUUCCCUAGUUUGAUAACAUUUUCCCCUUCAAGUGUUCCAUGUAAAUUGUCGUUUGGAAAAGAGAGGCACUCUAUUGAAGUACUCAGCAUUGAAGAGUUCGUCUGGAAUAGUCCCACAAAGGUUGUUGUGGCCAACCUUGAGGACUCUGAGCCUGGAGCAAUUUCCAAGUCCAGGGGGAAUGCUCCCACUGAAUUGGUUGUAACUGAGUUCAAGCACAGCUAAGGAUGGCAAGUUGGUGCAGAAAUUAGUUGGUAUAUGCCCACUAAAUCUAUUGUUGCUAGCACUGAGCGUGAUGAGAUGCGCCAUUCCGUCUAACGACGGCAACUCCGUGGAAAACUUGUUGCUCGAGAUGUUGAGCACCUGCAGAGGCAACUUUAGACCAGUGGUUAGUGGUGGCGACAGUGGUAGAAUUCUGCCGAGGCUGUUGAAGCUGACGUCAAGGAUGAUGAUGCUGCCUGAUGACAUUACUUCUGAUGGUAAUCCGCCGGAUAGUGAGUUGUGCGACAGGUUCAGACGCAGCAAACCUGGCAGUCUGCCAAGAGCAGGUGAUAUGCUGCCUUCCAGCCUCUUGGAGGCCAACAAGACGUCUGUGACCAUGGCGUCCUUGCUGACCAUGCUGCUGCAGGUGAUGCCUUCCCAUGAGCAGCAGUCUGUGCCCAGCCGCCAUGACGCGGCGAGGCCACCGUCCUGCGAGAGCCCUGCUAGGAACUGGAGGAGGCAGUUGUUCUCACGCUCUGUGCAGCAGCUGGUGGAAGAUGCAGAGGAAAGCAUCAGCACAAGAACGAGGCAGAGAAUAGACAUGGGUAAUUUGUUUUUAUUGCUGCUGCUACUGGUUGUGGUGGUGGUGGGUGAUGAAAAUUUGAAACUAAUGGAGUGACCAUAUAUAAUGUUGCUAUUCUGAAUUUGUGAUUUUCCUCAAUUCAGUCGGUACAUAUUAAUUGAGAGAGAGAGGAAUAAAGCAGCAACUUGGUACAGAUUGCUUGAUUGUCUUCUAGAGCUAGGGACCGCAGGGACAAAAAUAUCAGUCCUUGGAUGCUUUUUUCGUGAAACACGGCUUAAUGUUAACCCAAAUCAAGUAGCAGUACAACCGUUUCUGUCUUUCAGAUCAAUUCCCUGUGAAUGCAUGGCAACCUGCUCUGGUUGCAGUGAAAUUAAAGUGUGAAAAACUGAGGAGAAAACGAUAUCUGUUGUCAGAUUCUGAAAUUUAUAAUGGAGGUCUGAAUGAUUCAGUUACCUGUAAGUUGCACGGCCGGAAGAAUGAAUGCUACGGGGUGGCAUCCAAUCCAUGCAUGUUCGGAAGAUCAAUCGGCAAGUAAGGUGAGGCUGCUGUCUCAGAAUUGAAGAAAUCUUAGCUUGGAUAGUACUAUCUGAUCUAACAGCACACCAAGUGCAAAGAACAGGCCAAAUGCGACGCCAAAGAUAACCUUGUCACUGAAUUGAUCUGUGGAAAGAGUGGAGGCAGGAGCAUGAACUGCUUUUGCUGAAUUACAGUGGUGACUGAGCAUACCACCACAUAGCUUUGGAUUACCAAUGAAGCUUGAGUUGUCAAAUGUAUCAAACUGGCCUCCAGUUGGAAUAGGUCCUUCCAGGUCAUUGUUAGAAACAUUGAAGGCAGAAAGGAAGUGCAGCUUGUUCAGUUCCAAAGGGAUUGCACCCAUUAGAUUGUUGCUAGACAAGUCUAGCAUCUCCAGGUUGGUGAGGUUGCAAAUUGCUUGUGGGAUCUCUCCAGAGAAGCUAUUGAAGCUCAAAUCAAGCAUAUCGAGUGCCUUCAGCCGACCAAUCUCUGGAGGGAUCACACUUGUAAAGCCAUUUCUAGCUACAUUUACUUCUGCUCGGAGGAUGCGAUAUUCAUAUUUCCAAUCUUUAAGUGCAGGUAAGUCCUUUUUUGAGGACAUAUAUGUCGGUAAUAUUAAGACCCUUGCAUCAAUAUUGGCCACUGUCUUCUCUGAUUUAAGCAUUGGCAUCUGUAUUAAUGUCAUCAAUAUUUCCCCUGUAAAGCUAUUAUUUGAUAUAUCUAGACAGAUGAGAAAGUUGAGUUUGUUGAUCCAUACAGGUACCGUUCCUGUUAAUCGAUUGUCAUAUAAAAACAACUUCUCCAAAUUUUUGAGCUUCGAUAGCCAGACAGGCAUUUUUCCAGAUAACGAGGACC